UAAUACGGAGGGUGCAAGCAUUGAUCGGAAUUACUGGGCGUAAAGGGCGCGUAGGCGGCUGAGAAAGUCAGAUGUGAAAUUCCGGGGCUCAACCCCGGAGCUGCAUUUGAAACUUCUUAGCUAGAGGAUGGUUAGGGAAAACGGAAUUCCACGUGUAGCGGUGAAAUGCGUAGAUAUGUGGAAGAACACCGGUGGUGAAGACGGUUUUCUGGGCCAAACCUGACGCUGAGGCGCGAAAGCUAGGGGAGCAAACAGG
rnacentral:rRNA from 1 species